rnacentral:rRNA from 1 species
UACAGAGGGGGCAAGCGUUAUUCGGAAUUAUUGGGCGUAAAGGGCGCGCAGGCGGUCUGGCAAGUUUGGAGUGACAGUGCUCGGCUUAACUGGGCAAGGCCUUCGAAAACUGCUAGACUUGAGCACUCAAGAGGGACAUAGAAUUCCGGGUGGAGUGGUGAAAUGCGUAGAUAUCCGGAGGAAUACCAAAGGCGAAGGCAGUGUCCUGGGGAGUGUCUGACGCUCAGGCGCGAAAGCUAGGGGAGCGAACAGG